GACGAACGCUGGCGGCGUGCUUAACACAUGCAAGUCACGGGGGCUGGCGCAAGCCAGUAACCGGCGAACGGGUGCGUAACACGUGAGCAACCUGCCGAGAUGAGGGGGAUAGCCGGCCCAACGGCCGGGUAAUACCGCAUACGAUCUCUUAGAGGAGUCUCUAGGGGAGGAAACCUCCGGGGCAUUUCGAGGGGCUCGCGGCCUAUCAGCUAGUUGGUGCGGUAACGGCGCACCAAGGCGACGACGGGUAGCUGGUCUGAGAGGAUGGCCAGCCACAUUGGGACUGAGAGACGG
rnacentral:rRNA from 1 species